rnacentral:rRNA from 1 species
AACGAACGCUGGCGGCAUGCCUAACACAUGCAAGUCGAACGAGACCUUCGGGUCUAGUGGCGCACGGGUGCGUAACGCGUGGGAACCUGCCCUUAGGUUCGGAAUAACUCCCCGAAAGGGGUGCUAAUACCGGAUAAUGUCUUCGGACCAAAGAUUUAUCGCCUUUGGAUGAGCCCGCGUUGGAUUAGCUAGUUGGUAGGGUAAAAGCCUACCAAGGCGACGAUCCAUAGCUGGUCUGAGAGGAUGAUCAGCCACACUGGGACUGAGACACGGCCCAGACUCCUACGGGAGGCAGCAGUGGGGAAUAUUGGAAAAUGGGCGAAAGCAUGAUCCAGCAAUGCUGCGUGAGUGAUGAAGGCCUUAGGGUUGUAAAGCUCUUUUACCCGGGAUGAUAAUGACAGUACCGGGAGAAUAAGCUCCGGCUAACUCCGUG